rfam:Aedes albopictus isolate Foshan contig3248, whole genome shotgun sequence.
UGCCCAGCAACUCCUAUCCUUACCUCCUCGCGGUACCGGCCGGAAACUAUGAGCAAUCUUAGGGAAGA